rnacentral:lncRNA from 1 species
UUAAAGUAAAAAAAUAAAAAAUUUUAAUUUUUUUAAAAAACUUUCAAAAUAUAAACAAUAAUCAUUAGCCAUCAGCAGUGAUUUAAGGACCGUAUUUGGAUAGUCACUGUCAUUCCUAUAAAGGGAUCUAGACAUGUAACCUAUUUGGAUCCAAAAUUCAUGUCCACUUGAAUUGAAUUGAAUCGAUCAGGAAUCUCUUCGUCGGUGACAACAUGGGUGGGUCUCUAUCAGUGAACAACUCCUUGAUGCUUUGAUAGAAACAGAGACAAUGGAAAAACCAGGGCAUCAGAAACAAAGCCACCCACGAUCUUACCGAUGACAUCCUUCAAUCUUCCUGUUCAAAUGUAAAGGUAAGAGAAAUCCAAAAACCUGGGCAUCAGUAUUGAAGAGCUGCUCCAAAUUUGUUGAAAAAACUUUUGAAUUUGGUUAAUGCAAAAGUAAAGAAUAUUUUAAUUUUUUUUUAUCAGAACAAUAUCAUGGAGAGCAUUGAUGAACAAUAUACAACAGAUUUUAUAAAUGGUGCAUUUUUGUACCAGCCAUAAUAAAAUACCAUCUCACUUUAGUUCUUUUUAAUGGUUAAUGAUCAUAGUAACAAUAUUUUCAUCCAUAUUUAUUUGACAUAAUUAAAAUUAAAAUUAACCUCCAUUGAAUUUGAUUUAUUCAACAUAAUUAAAAUUUUAAAGAGUAAUACGUCAGCAAGCUGUCCGUAUUUAUUUAUUAUUUUAUAAAUUCAAUUCACUUCCACCAUCUAAUCAAAACACAAAUAAAAUCAAAUACCUGUACAAAUCAUUCAUUCCACAGAAGAGUGUUUAUGUCCGCAGCAGUACCGUGUUAUCCAUGAGAUUAUUGAAGGCACAUUCAUGUUUUUGUAUUCUUAGCAGAAUCUUGUUUCCCUGCAAAUCAAAUCAACCGGUUAGAGAAGAACCCUAAAAUUCGUGAAGCUAUCACUAAAAAAUUCACCGAGUAUCUUCGCCGGGCGGAGGAGAUCGGGACUGUCCUUGAUGAAGGAGGUCCUGGCCCUAAUUCUAAUGGGGAUGCUGCUGUUGCGAGGAGGCCGAGGACUAAGCCUGAAGAUGGCGAGGAUGGGGAUGAUCCGGGGAAGAUAAGUU